rnacentral:rRNA from 1 species
GACGAACGCUGGCGGCGUGCCUAAUACAUGCAAGUUGAGCGAUGAAGCUUGGUGCUUGCACCAAUUUGAAGAGCAGCGAACGGGUGAGUAACGCGUGGGGAAUCUGCCUUUGAGCGGGGGACAACAUUUGGAAACGAAUGCUAAUACCGCAUAAUAACUUUAAACAUAAGUUUUAAGUUUGAAAGAUGCAAUUGCAUCACUCAAAGAUGAUCCCGCGUUGUAUUAGCUAGUUGGUGAGGUAAAGGCUCACCAAGGCGAUGAUACAUAGCCGACCUGAGAGGGUGGUCGGCCACAUUGGGACUGAGACACGGCCCAAACUCCCACGGGAGGCAGCAGUAGGGAAUCUUCGGCAAUGGACGAAAGUCUGACCGAGCAACGCCGCGGGAGUGAAGAAGGUUUUCGGAUCGUAAAACUCUGUUGGUAGAGAAGAACGUUGGUGAGAGUGGAAAGCUCAUCAAGUGACGGUAACUACCCAGAAAGGGACGGCUAACUACGUG